rnacentral:rRNA from 1 species
GACGAACGCUGGCGGCGUGCUUAACACAUGCAAGUCGAACGGAAAGGCCCUGCUUUUGUGGGGUGCUCGAGUGGCGAACGGGUGAGUAACACGUGAGUAACCUGCCCUUGACUUUGGGAUAACUUCAGGAAACUGGGGCUAAUACCGGCUAGGAGCUCCUGCUGCAUGGUGGGGGUUGGAAAGUUUCGGCGGUUGGGGACGGACUCGCGGCUUAUCAGCUUGUUGGUGGGGUAGUGGCUUACCAAGGCUUUGACGGGUAGCCGGCCUGAGAGGGGGACCGGCCACAUUGGGACUGGGAGACGGCCCAGACGCCUACGGGAGGCAGCAGUGGGGAAUAUUGCACAAUGGGCGGAAGCGUGAUGCAGCAACGCCGCGUGCGGGAUGACGGCCUUCGGGUUGUAAACCGCUUUCGCCUGUGACGAAGCGUGAGUGACGGUAAUGGGUAAAGAAGCACCGGCUAACUACGU